AGCGAACGCUGGCGGCAGGCCUAACACAUGCAAGUCGAACGAACUCUUCGGAGUUAGUGGCGGACGGGUGAGUAACACGUGGGAACGUGCCUUUUGGUUCGGAAUAACUCAGGGAAACUUGUGCUAAUACCGAAUGUGCCCUUCGGGGGAAAGAUUUAUCGCCAUUUGAGCGGCCCGCGUCUGAUUAGCUAGUUGGUGAGGUAACGGCUCACCAAGGCGACGAUCAGUAGCUGGUCUGAGAGGAUGACCAGCCACACUGGGACUGAGACACGGCCCAGACGCAUACGGGAGGCAGCAGUGGGGAAUCUUGCGCAAUGGGCGAAAGCCUGACGCAGCCAUGCCGGGUGAAUGAUGAAGGUCUUAGGAUUGUAAAAUUCUUUCACCGGGGACGAUAAUGACGGUACCCGGAGAAGAAGCCCCGGCUAACUUCGUG
rnacentral:rRNA from 1 species